rnacentral:tRNA from 1 species
GGAGAGGUGUCCGAGUGGCUUAAGGAGCACGCUUGGAAAGCGUGUAUACCCUAACCGGGUAUCGGGGGUUCGAAUCCCCCUCUCUCCGCCA